rnacentral:rRNA from 1 species
UACGUAGGGUGCAAGCGUUGUCCGGAAUUAUUGGGCGUAAAGAGCUCGUAGGCGGUUUGUCGCGUCGGCUGUGAAAGCCCGGAAGCCUCAACUCCGGGUCUGCGAGUCGAUACGGGCAGACUUGAGUGGUUGCAGGGGAGACUGGAAUUCCUGGUGGUAGCGGUGAAAUGCGGCAGAUAUCAAGGAGGAACACCGGUGGCGAAGGGCGGGGUCUCCUGGGGCAAACAACGUGACGCUGGAGGAGCGAAAGCGUGGGGAGCGA